UGUGUGGUCGCUUCCAGGAAAUUUCGUUCACGAAGCUCUGUGCAGAGUUGCCAGACCGCUAUAAUUGAAAGAUAUGACCAGACUGCUAUAAAUUCAGAAACGAACUAUUUCCAUAACAAUUUUGCAAAAAAAAUUAUAUUCUGACCCCGAAACCGGGGAUUUGGGAUCGCGGAAUAAGUUACCAAUGCAUCGACAGCUAUCAGCACAUUUUGCGGCUCAAUCUUAGACCAAUUUGCCAACGCUGACCGCCCCGUAAAGGUUCAUCAGAUAUCAAGAUCGCGUGUUCUAUAUGGCGGGACUGUUGCACAUUUAUUUCAGAAUCUUAUACCGAAAGCGGCUGCUCUCUCGCCACUCGUUAUUCUGUCACUCGCCGGUCAUAGUUUUCAACGAUUAAACGCAGGCAUGAAGUUUUGAGAUUCGUCAGCAUCAUCGCUGUUUACUGCCGAUUCAAAUUGGCAUUCCAAAUCAAAUCUCUAAACAGAAAAGUCGUACUAAGGAGUGCUCUUACGCUGGGAAUCGUAUGAAUGUAUCCUCGUUUCUUUAGUCAUCAGUUUUUGGUUGCUUUAUAUCUUUUAUAAAAUCUAACAAAACACUGAGAUAUUUGUUCUCUGCAAUAUACGGGAGGAUUUUGUCCACGUU